UACGGAGGGGGCUAGCGUUGUUCGGAAUUACUGGGCGUAAAGCGCGCGUAGGCGGGUCUUUAAGUCAGGGGUGAAAUCCUGGAGCUCAACUCCGGAACUGCCUUUAAGACUGCAUCGCUAGAAUUGUGGAGAGGUGAGUGGAAUUCCGAGUGUAGAGGUGAAAUUCGUAGAUAUUCGGAAGAACACCAGUGGCGAAGGCGACUCACUGGACACAUAUUGACGCUGAGGUGCGAAAGCGUGGGGAGCAAACAGG
rnacentral:rRNA from 1 species